UAGGACCUGGGUUUCAAGGUCUGGGCAGUUCUUACUGAAUGCUAUUCUUGCUAAAUGCUAAAAUAUAGCACAGUCGGGUUUGAUUCC